rnacentral:rRNA from 1 species
AGUCAUAUGCUUGUCUCAAAGAUUAAGCCAUGCAUGUCUCAGUACAAGCCAAAUUAAGGUGAAACCGCGAAAGGCUCAUUAAAUCAGUUAUGGUUCCUUAGAUCGUACACACAUUUACUUGGAUAACUGUGGUAAUUCUAGAGCUAAUACAUGCAAAUAGAGCUCCAACCGGAGACGGAAGGAGCGCUUUUAUUAGAUCAAAACCAAUCGGUGGCAAGCUUGUCACCGUACAUUUUGGUGAAUCUGAAUAACUUACUGCUGAUCGCAUGGUCUCGCACCGGCGACGCAUCUUUCAAAUGUCUGCCUUAUCAACUGUCGAUGGUAGGUUCUGCGCCUACCAUGGUUGUAACGGGUAACGGGGAAUCAGGGUUCGAUUCCGGAGAGGGAGCCUGAGAAACGGCUACCACAUCCAAGGAAGGCAGCAGGCGCGCAAAUUACCCACUCCCGGCACGGGGAGGUAGUGACGAAAAAUAACGAUACGGGACUCAUCCGAGGCCCCGUAAUCGGAAUGAGUACACUCUAAACCCUUUAACGAGGAUCAAUUGGAGGGCAAGUCUGGUGCCAGCAGCCGCGGUAAUUCCAGCUCCAAUAGCGUAU